AGGACGAACGCUGGCGGCGUGCUUAACACAUGCAAGUCGAGCGGAAAGGCCCUUCGGGGUACUCGAGCGGCGAACGGGUGAGUAACACGUGAGUAAUCUGCCUUCAGCUCUGGGAUAGCUCCGGGAAACCGGGAUUAAUACCGGAUAUGACCACUUCGGACAUCUGUUGUGGUGGAAAGUUUUUCGGCUGGAGAUGAGCUCGCGGCCUAUCAGCUUGUUGGUGGGUAAAGGCCUACCAAGGCGACGACGGGUA
rnacentral:rRNA from 1 species